rnacentral:rRNA from 1 species
UACGGAGGAUCCGAGCGUUAUCCGGAUUUAUUGGGUUUAAAGGGUGCGUAGGCGGCCGAGUAAGUCAGCGGUGAAAUUUUGCAGCUUAACUGUAACAGUGCCGUUGAUACUGGGGAGCUAGGAUUUGGUUGCUGUGGGUGGAAUGUGUGGUGUAGCGGUGAAAUGCUUAGAGAUCACACAGAAUAUCGAUUGCGAAGGCAGCUCACAAAGCCAAGAUUGACGCUGAGGCACGAAAGUGUGGGGAUCAAACAGGAUUA